rnacentral:lncRNA from 1 species
ACUUCUGUUCCUCCCCGCCCUGGUGCUGCUCCGGGUCACAUACUCGUCCUGAGCCGGCUUCAGCCUCUCCGCGCAGAAGUCUCCCGGAGCCGACUUCUGAGAGUCGAGUACUCCUAUGUGAAGACUACCAAGCUCGUGUUCAAGGGAACCAAGGCGAAGAGGCGAGAUGGAAAGAAAGUAUCAAGGAGUGAGCUGAAGCCACUGCCCUUGAGAACCCUCUCGAGGAGUCUGGGCUCAUGAGGAUGCCAGAAUAAGUGGCAGUAAGAAGAAAAAGAACAAAGAUAAGAAAAGAAAAAGAGAAGAAGAUGAAGAAACCCAGCUUGAUAUGUUGGAAUCUGGUGGACAGUAACAAACUUUGGUGAAAUUUCAGGAACCAUAGCCAUUGAAAUGGAUGAGGGAACCUAUAUACAUGCACUCGAUAAUGGUCUUUUUACCCUGGGAGCUCCACACAAAGAAGUUGAUGAGGGCCCUAGUCCUCCAGAGCAGUUUUCGGCUGUCAAAUUAUCUGAUUCCAGAAUCACCCUGAAAUCUGGCUAUGGAAAAUAUCUUGGUAUAAAUUCAGAUGAACUUGUUGUUGGGCGUUCAGAUGCAAUUGGACCAAGAGAACAAUGGGAACCAGUCUUUAAAAUUGGGAAAAUGGCUUUGUCGACCUCAAAUAGCUGCUUUAUUAGAUACAGUGAAGCAGAGGACAUAGAAGCAAAAAGUAAAACAGCAGGAGAAGAAGAAAUGAUCAAGGCUCUCCUAAUCUCUGUCAGACCUUCACCUUUAUGACCUUGCCUUAUCUACCAGAACACAGAUCCCUCUUACUAAAGGUAACAUUGUGUUACAGGCCCUAGCAGGGAAUGUUUUCAGGUCUGGGACCCCUCUAAUCAAAACUGUCACAAAGAUGUCAUUGGCACAAACAUGUUAUUUGUCAUCACUUUCUAAGCAGCCCUGGAACUGGACUCUGGCCACAGAGAUCAUUUAGGAGACAUGAGUCCUUACCAUUGCCAAUUGCCUGUUCUGUAGACAAUCCUAAUUGUUGAAUGCAGAUCAAUUAACUAAUGAUAUGUGAUAGUAAACAUCUGUCCAAACUUAGGAGAAUAUAAGAAGCCAGUAAAAGAGGUGGGUUCCAAUUAAUUAAAAACAAGUUGUGUAAUGUUAAAAGUUUUAAUACUUUGAUAAUAGUCUGUGCAAUGUAAAAUAGCUAUUAAGCUUUCAGUCUGAUCAAAUGAACACUUGUCUACUAGGGAUAAUUUGAUCCUAGUGUAUUCACUUGGAGGACAAAAUUAAAUGAAUGAUUUCUUUAUUGCCUAGCAGGAUCUGAUGUGUAAAAUGUUUCUGAAAUAAUUUUUUCUGUAGUGUUUCUGACACAAGGGCUGCGGAGGAAGCAUAUGAUAGCACUUACUCAUAUAGAUUAUAUAUAUGAAUUAAAAACACAUAGCCAGAACCUGUCUUUUUCUGAAUAUAGUUGCUCAGUUAAUUUUUUCUUCUGCAUAAGAAAUCAUCUCAAAUAUUCUUAUGUGAUACGUAAAGUGGGGAAGGUGGAAGAUAAACAUAUAACCCAUUGGAUUCUCUUUUCCAAUAUCUAGAUUAGAUCCUGUGCUGAAAGAGAAACCAAGAAAAAAGAUGACAUUCCAGAAGAAGACAAAGGAAAUAUAAAACAAUGUGAAAUCAA